rnacentral:ribozyme from 1 species
GGCUAUCACUACAUGGUUAAUAUUAAUGUAGCCAUUCAAUAGAAUGAGAGUCCAAAGCCUCUAUAAAUACAGAUGGAUAU